rnacentral:lncRNA from 1 species
GAGAGAGAAAGGAUUGAAGCAAGCCACCCAGAGCUGCGCCCCAGAGAACCUCAGCCUGCCCCCUCGUACCCCGACAUGGAAGACGACGACAUGGACCCAAACUACGCCCGGAUCCCGACCUUCAGGGACCGCAGCGUCCCCUCACCCACUCAGCCGCUGUCCCAGGCUCCUCACUACAACUCUGCGUCGCACCCCAGCGCCCGCACUCCCUCUCCCACGGGCCGCCUGCCUUCUCGGGACCCGGGAGUAACGGCAUGGACUCCCCGCCUGUCCUGGACGACGACCACAUCGACCGACUCUACGCCAAAGUGAACAAGAGAGGGGGCGGGGCGGCGUCGCCAGUGGCUCCUGUUGCGACCAAUGACAGCGGCGUGGACAGGAUCCAGCAGCUCAGGAGGGAGUACCAGCAGGCGCGGAGAGAGGGGGUUGUGCCGCCGUAUGAAGAACCAGACCAAAGGCGGAGAGGCCAUGACAACGACGCGCACAGGAUGGGAGGCAGAGACCCUCGCAUGGCCCCGCGUUACGAAGAAGUGGAGCGACAGUACGCCUCUUUACCCAGGAGAGGCCCGUUGGAUCCAGCAGAGUACUCUAUGCAGCAGCAGCCAUGGUCGGGACACUACCCCGGACCUCCCCAAGCCGCUCAGUCGUACGCCCAGAGCCCAGCCUAUCCCAACCAGAGUCCAGCCUAUUCCAACCAGAGCCAGGCCUAUCCCAACCAGAACCCGGCUUAUGCCAACCACACCUCCAACCCCGGUGUCCCAUACUCCUACACAGCGGGGCCGGCCUACACAAGAGACCCCAGAACAGUGGAGCCUGGAUACUACCCGCACCCCAGUGCCCAGCAGAGAGGUCCCCUUCGGCAGGACGUCCCGCCCUCUCCCACCCCUCCACUCAGGGUAUGCGCUAUGACACCAUGACCCGAGGCGCCGUGGGAGGCGGGUACAGGUAGAACGCGUCAGUUUUUUUGCGCAUCUUGAUCCAAACAUCCUGAGCUGUACAGCCAGUGGGGAAGACCACACCAAACUCAACAGCUUUCUGGAUCUUUUUAUUCACAUUCCCAAAGGGUUACAACAUUGUUUCUGCCUAUGGUACUAUCGGCCAAUGAACAAACUCAUGGCACUGUUUGCAUAAAAUGGACCCUCAUUGCAGUCGAGUUUUGUAAAAGCGGGUUGGGAUACCAAAACAAAACUGAAAAUUUUAUAUCAAAUACAUAGAAAUUAAGGAACAACAUUAUCUUCUACUUGACUUGCUGCCUUGACACUGCAAUGAAAAUCCAUCUGUGUCAUGCUAAGUUUGUACACUAUGCCUUACUAGUUUUGUGUGAACAAGACAAACAGACCAAAGCACGAUUUGACAAUACAAAACAGCCGUCUAUAUUAUUGCCCUCUUCUUUUUUGUAUUUUGAUAACGCCAAGCUUGCUUUUUUUUAAAUGGUUCUUUCCAGACACCAAACAGCUCUCGAUGCAACAGUAGUCAUACUUUAUCACCAGGCACUUUUAAUAAAUGACUCUAGUUUUGCAUAUUCUGGUUUUCCCAGACCGUUGCCUUGAAAGAGCUGGAUGAGACAUGUAUUCACUUAUUUUCAUAGUGAAGAUGCAGUACUGGCAUAGAGAAAAAAAUUGUUUUAUUAAAUGCUGCCUGUACAUGAAUGUAACACUUGAUGCCCAAAUCAGCACAAAAUUGUUGUAUCUGUGGUCAAAUCUACCUGUUUCAUGCGUCUGAAAAAUGUUGAUUGUUGUAAGCCUAGAAGACAACAAGUAUCACAAAAGUAUAGUGUUAAUAUAGAACCACGUUUUUAUUGUCAUACUGUAUUUGUGGCUUUACAAGAUUCGCAAGUUGCUUCAGUAGGCCAAUAUUCAUUCACUCCCCCAUACUAGAUAGGGCUGCACAAUAUGAGGAAAAUGAACAAUAUUUAAUAACUAAACCAUUGCAACACAGUAUGCCGGUCUAGUGUUUUUAAACGCUGGCUUUCGACUAGACUUUGCGCACUGUGAAAUCUUCAGCGCCAGACUAAACGCAGUUGAACGCGGGCUGGACAGACGCUCAUGGACAAUGGCGAAGUUAUGUACAACAGUGGACCCUCCCCGAGCCUUUACUUCCUACAGACCAAUGUUUUUUGGGGAGCGAGGGUGGCAGUGGGUUGAGGGUUUUGUGCUGGUGUUUUGAUCAUGUUUCUGCGGCGUUUUAGAGCCCCACACAGCCAGAGCUAUGCGCUGUGCUCUCUUUCUCUCGGAUACGGCCAGUGUUUAACUCACAGUGGGAUAAAGUCUGUAGCUUGUCUUGUAAAUGAUGAAUACACGCGAGCAGCACGCCAUGAUAAAGUGCAUAUGACAGGUUUUAAUGCUUUUGAAAUUAUUAUUAUAUGAUUUAGAAGGAUAACAUCAGUUGCAAGUUCAUCAGUUGCGUAAUUAUAGUUUUAUUGAAGACAUUUUAUUUUAUUCGAAUUUUAAAAGCAGUACUAGUUAAUGUGCUUACCUUAAUAAAUCCUUUUCGUAGUCCUUUUGGGGUAAUACAAGCGUUAAUGGGAUGAUUGGAGGGUCUUUCAUCUCCCCCUGGUGUCUCUGGCCAGAAAAUCACACUUGCAACUUGCCUGCCUCUGGGUCGGAGGCGCAAUACACACUAAUGGAACCACGAAGAAGAAGCUAACAGGCUAACGGGCAAGCUAACUGUGGAUUAGCGCCACUUUGGCAGUAUUUACAGCCAAAUUUGAGCGGAAAAAAUAUCUCCAUUGUGUAAUUUAGUUGUGGCACAAUGUAAAAUAUCCCUCUCUCCCUGUGUCUUUUCUGUCAGCGUAGUAUUUUACUCUCACAAACAAUUAAUGAGUAAAAAAAGACACAACGUGCAGUGACGCUUAUGGCCUGUAUGGGCAUAAGCUACUUAGUUCUGCUUUAAACUGCUAACAGGAAGUGACAUGGAUAAUGGUAAAGUUCUAUAGCAGUUUGACUUAUUUCCCAUUGACUUAACAUGGUUGGUAUGGCAACAGUUUAAAUUUGUUUGCCUUCAUCUAUGUCACUUCCUGUCGGUGUCCAAACUAAAGAAAGCUCGGUACAAUCUUUAGCAAAAUCUUCAAUAUAAUUGUGUCUACCAUGUUUUAGCAAAUUGUGUCUAAUGUGUCAUAUGCACUUUAAUGUGAAGAUGUGGAGAGAAGAGCAGUAGAAGCACCUUCUUUCUAAGCCACGCUCCUGCGCCCUGGCCACGCAAGGUCAGGCGCACCGUUUGUUUACACGCAAGAUGUCACUCUCCUCUGCGCUAACGCUGUUGUUGCGCCGGGCGGAAGAUCGGGUCCAUUGUGUUUUAGUGGCACAAAUUUCCGUAACAUUUGCCUAAUCAUCUGGAGAAACGAAUCAAACGAAGGAUUGAAAUUUCUACAGUAGAGAGAUACGCAAUAAGUUGUAGUAGCAGUAUGUAAACUGUAGUGUAGAGAGAGAAAUAGAUAAAGUAGGGAAGCAUGAGGUUGCCAAAGGAGGUUAUCUUUGUUUAGAAGGCAUGCUUUAUUGCGAAUUGAGUAAAGAUCUCUAUGAUGAUCUUUAGGAUUGGUCUGAUUCCAAUACAGUGAGGACCUAAACCAAUUCAUCGAUCCGAUACCGUGCUGUAAUUUCCUUAUAAAUUUACUCUGACAGUACUUCCAUAUUAUUAGCAUCUUUGAGUCUUAGUAUUGGUUAAAAAGUUGGUAUCAAAACAAGCUUAAUAUAGAAGCAUGGAAGGAUGAUCGGACGGUUAGUGGGUUACUAUGGUGGACAUGGAAAGCAAACAAGGUAAGGGAACAAAAAAGUGUCUGUUUGGAAUUGAGCUAAGUUUCCUGGGAUCGUGAUUAAAAGGCACAGGAAGAUGUGAGCAGCGAACAGUUGGCGGGUCUCCGGUCUGUGGGAGGAGAUCACUGUGUGGGAUUUCAUGACUUCAAUUCAUAAAUAUUUAUCCUCCACACGAGCCCGCCACAUGUCACGUUCAACACGCUGUCAAAGUAGAAUGCUAUGUUACACGUCAGCGGUCAGGACUAUCAUUCCAGUUACGUCUGAUCUGUGGCUGGAAGGAUGAAUUUUUGACAACAACUCUUAUUCUGUGAUUUUUAUAAACUUUUAAGGGACACUACAGGGUUUGAGCCAAUUUGGUUUCUUAAUAUAAUAUAGACUUUCACCUGGAAACAAAUAAAAUACUUAAAAUUCACAAUAACAUGUUUAAUUGUUGCAAUGAGUCAAUCUUUCAAUUUGUGGGGAAAUUGUAAUUUUAAGCCAUUUUUCUCACAUUGGCGCGACAAUAUCUCCACCUAAGUAGCUCCUACAAACUUCAAAUCUUGGACUGAACAAGGGUUUUUCAGAGGGAUUUUUUCAUAUCUAAUUCCUGAGCCUGAGUUUUGAAUGUCUAAAAACAAGGCGAUCUUUACAUUUUUACAGAUUUUUCCACUAAUAAAACAUGUCCAAAAUUGAUCCAUUAUUCAGAUUGUGUCGCCGAAAAAAUAUGGGAAAUUUAACGUAAAAUGAAAAGAAAGCUUACAAUACAUAUUUUUCCUCAUACUUAUGCCAGUAAUAGUUUCAAAUGGAUAAUUCUACAUUUAAAAAGUUUCCCCUAUUCACCUGCAGUGUCUCGCUUAAACUGCUACACCUGCGCAGACAGCGGGUUGGGCAUCUCACUCUUCUAUAUUGUGCCUUUUCAGAUAGACUCAGCACUGCCAGUAGAAGGAAUUGUAGCUGAAUAUUGUGUGAACGAUAUUGUCAACAGCAUAUACGCUCCAUUUCAUUUCAAACACUAAAUCAGAAUCAAGGCCAAAAUGAAACUAAAUAUUCGUUUUCUGUUUUAGACGGUGUUUGCAAAGGUCAGAUGCAAGACUUGAGUGAUUGAGCUUCUUAUUGCAUCAUUUAAAGGUGCACUAUGCAACUUUUUUAAUUUUUAUAUUAGUGCGUAUUUGACCUUUCAGUGACCAUGAUGUGUCAGGCCAUUUUAUUUCAGGUUUUCGGAAUGGAAUGCAUAUGUAACCAUGGAUACGGUUCAAUCAGCAGUGAAAACCUAAAAAAACUAUUGAUCCUGGCGCGUCCUACAGGCCACCGGGAUGGUAAGUAAAGGCGCUAUGCUAACCACCCAAGCAUCCGCUGGGUCACUGGAAGGUCUAAUCCGUAUUAAUAUCAACUUUUUUUUAAGUGGGUGAUAUAUUGUGCAGCCCUACACAUAAUUGAUACUAGAAUACAUGUUUUUUUUUCCUGCCAAUCUAAGAGACGAACAUCAUCACAUUCUAGAAAUGCAAAAUCGACCAUGUCCGUGAAAGGAGGAGAUUUUUCUUUGUUUUUCUCCAAAGUUUCACUGUGAUUUUACUCCCUUUGAAUCAAAUGAAGUCAAGACUGAAUGUAUCCGAAUGCUGGGUCACUGCACCGACGUAUGAACUGUGUAUGAAAUUGUAUAUUAUUAUUUCAGUGGCACACAUUUCACUUAUACAUAUACGGCCUUUUAGCGCUUAGUAUUCUAUUUUAUUUUUCUCAUUUCAAGUAGUUGCUGGCCUUUGGUUGAUAGCCCAGCGCUGCCAAUACAUGCUUAUAUGUUUUAACUGCAAUAAUUAGCCAUUUAUAUGUCAUUGUCGAAUUUACGAAAAACGUAAUAAUGGUACUAAUAGUGAGUUUGUGGUACUCUGGGGCCCAUUGCUCAGGCCUUAUGAAGGACUAUAAAACUAUGUAUUAAAAACACAGCUGCCUUUUAACCACUUUAUGAAAAUACUCAAAUGAGUUGUGUGUAUUGUUAUAAAACUAACAAUGAUUUCUAUUCAUUCCUACCAUUUAUAUUUGUGUAUAUACCAUUUUUUGCAAUAAAAUAUUAAUUCUUUACCGGUUCGUCUAUUAGUGUUAUUGUAUAAGGGUUGAAUUUUCAGUUGUGGUCUAAACUCUUUCCC